rnacentral:rRNA from 1 species
AUUGAACGCUAGCGGGAUGCUUAACACAUGCAAGUCGAACGAGUGGCGGACGGGUGAGUAAUAUCUCGGAACGUGCCCAGUAGAGGGGGAUAACUACUCGAAAGAGUGGCUAAUACCGCAUACCAUCGGAGAGGCCGAUAUCGGAUUAGCUAGUAGGUGGGGUAAAGGCUCACCAAGGCAACGAUCCGUAGCUGGUUUGAGAGGACGACCAGCCACACUGUGACUGAGACACGGCCCAGACUCCUACGGGAGGCAGCAGUGGGGAAUUUUGGACAAUGGGGGAAACCCUGAUCCAGCCAUCCCGCGUGUAUGAGAAGGCCUUCGGGUUGUAAAGUACUUUUGGCAGGGAAGCGGUAUCUGCAGAAUAAGCACCGGCUAACUACGUGCCAGCAGCCGCGGUAAUAC